rnacentral:rRNA from 1 species
GAUGAACGCUGGCGGCGUGCCUAAUACAUGCAAGUCGAGCGAACAGACGAGGAGCUUGCUCCUCUGACGUUAGCGGCGGACGGGUGAGUAACACGUGGAUAACCUACCUAUAAGACUGGGAUAACUUCGGGAAACCGGAGCUAAUACCGGAUAAUAUAUUGAACCGCAUGGUUCAAUAGUGAAAGACGGUUUUGCUGUCACUUAUAGAUGGAUCCGCGCCGCAUUAGCUAGUUGGUAAGGUAACGGCUUACCAAGGCGACGAUGCGUAGCCGACCUGAGAGGGUGAUCGGCCACACUGGAACUGAGACACGGUCCAGACUCCUACGGGAGGCAGCAGUAGGGAAGCUUCCGCAAUGGGCGAAAGCCUGACGGAGCAACGCCGCGUGAGUGAUGAAGGUCUUCGGAUCGUAAAGCUCUGUUAUUAGGGAAGAACAGAUGUGUAAGUAACUAUGCACGUCUUGACGGUACCUAAUCAGAAAGCCACGGCUAACUACGUG